CUCUAACAUUACUAUAUUAAGUUUUAUUCUUAAAAAUGAAGAUCUUUGAUUUUUCCUCUCAUCUAGGCCUUUGGCGUUUGCAUUUUUUCCCCUUAUUCCAUCAUACAUCAGCAAAGAUAUUAGACAUAGGAAAAAGGAUACCCAUGACAGUUAAAUUCUGCUUGUCAAUUUCUAUGGGAUUCAGACAAAAAUGAGCUCCAGUGCUUGGCAGUUAAGCAAAAGUGCUGAUGUCACAAUUCCUGAGGAAGUUUUGGAGGUAGGGCUAUAGAUUCUUGACUCAAAGACAUUGUUCAUCUAUUCGUAGCACAAUAUCCAUUAAUGUUAGCUAAAGUUAAUUGUUACUUUUUCCCUAUUCAGGGUAAAGGCAAAACUGGAUUUUAUAUGGGAAAACAAUCUACCAAAAGUUUGCUUGGUCCAGGCAAACACAAUCAGUGUUUGUAUGAACAUAAAUGAUAAAAGAUUACCCCUAAAUAAAGAGUUCGAUAUUGGAUUUGGGUUGUAAAUAAUUAUGGUAUUUGUUAUGCACUGACUGUGUUCCAAGCACAGUACUUAAGCAUAGGGGAUAGAUACAGUCAGGUUAGACACAGCCCCUAUCCCACAUGGGAUGUACUGUCUCAGAUGGAGAAAAAACAUAUGAAUGAACUCAUCCAUUUUAUAGAUGAGGAAACUGAAGAAAG
rnacentral:lncRNA from 1 species